rnacentral:rRNA from 1 species
GCAAGUCGAACGAUCCUUCGGGAUAGUGGCGCACGGGUGAGUAACGCGUGGGAAUUUACACUUCAGUACGGAACAACAGUUGGAAACGACUGCUAAUACCGUAUAAUGACUCCGGUCCAAAGAUUUAUCGCUGAAGGAUAAGCCCGCGUCUGAUUAGCUAGUUGGUGGGGUAAAGGCUCACCAAGGCGACGAUCAGUAGCUGGUUUGAGAGGAUGAUC